rnacentral:RNase_P_RNA from 1 species
AAUGCAGGUUGUUCUAUCGCUGUUCCGAGUAAAAUCGGAAGAGAGGAAAGUCCGGGCAACACAGGGCAUCUCGCUUUCUAACGGAAAGGAAUUCAAGAAUGAAAACUUGAAUUACGGAUUAGUGCAACAGAAAAUAUACCGCCCGAGGUAACUUGGGAAAGGGUGAAAACGUGCGGUAAGAGCGCACGAGCAUUGCAGGCGACUGCGGUGGUUUGUAAACCCCGAGAGUUGAAAGACCAAAUAGGCUAACGCAUGUAGGGCUGCCCGUCCGAUGUUAGUGGGUAGGUCGUUAGAGAUAAACGGCAACGUUUAUAGUGGAUAAAUGAUAGAAAUCUUGAGCAAUCGAGAAACAGAACCCGGCUUAUAGACCUGCAUUUUUU